GGCCCUUUAGCUCAGUGGUUAGAGCAGGCGACUCAUAAUCGUCCGGUCGCUGGUUCAAGUCCAGCAAGGGCCUCCA
rnacentral:tRNA from 3 species